CGAAUCAAAAGAUUCUGAGUCUUCCUUCUGAGAAACUUAAUGUGCAUGGUGGAGCUGUAUCUCUGGGUCAUCCUCUAGGCUGCAGUGGUGCUCGCAUUCUUGUGACUCUGUUGGGGGUUCUUCGAGGGAGAAAUGGCAAAACUGGAGUUGCUAGUGUCUGCAACGGUGGUGGGGGUGCUUCUGCGCUCGUUCUAGAGCUCAUCUGAGCCUUCAAUCUGGCCUCUUGCAGGAGUAGAGCUUUCAUCGCUAUGAUUUAUAUCUAUAAUGUCAAUGCAGGAUCUUCGCCAAAUUUUUCCGAGCAGUAACAAGAUGUAGCAGAUCUUAGAAUCUAUCUUUUUCCUUUUCAAGCUAGGGUUUUAGCGUAUGUAUUGCACUAAGCACUGAAGGCUUUAGAGGGGUACUUUAGCAAUCUCGUCACGGUUAUGUUUAAUGUAAGCCUUUCAAAAUAAGGCCCUGUGUGGGCAAGGAUGAGUUUCGUGCGUAGGCCAAGG
rnacentral:misc_RNA from 1 species